GGAAUAUUGGACAAUGGGGGCAACCCUGAUCCAGCCAUGCCGCGUGCGUGAAGAAGGCCUUAGGGUUGUAAAGCGCUUUCACUGGUGAAGAUGAUGACGGUAGCCAGAGAAGAAGCCCCGGCUAACUCCGUGCCAGCAGCCGCGGUAAUACGGAGGGGGCUAGCGUUAUUCGGAAUUACUGGGCGUAAAGCGCACGUAGGCGGACUGAAAAGUUAGGGGUGAAAUCCCAGGGCUCAACCUUGGAACUGCCUUUAAAACUAUCAGUCUAGAGUUCGAGAGAGGUGAGUGGAAUUCCGAGUGUAGAGGUGAAAUUCGUAGAUAUUCGGAGGAACACCAGUGGCGAAGGCGGCUCACUGGCUCGAUACUGACGCUGAGGUGCGAAAGCGUGGGGAGCAAAC
rnacentral:rRNA from 1 species